CAGGGAAAAGCUCACAGUUGGAACCUAGCUGCCUUAGGUAGUUCGGAUUGUAAACUGAAAAAGUGUUAUCCAGGCUAGCCGAGUAAAUAAGUUUCUUGGAAUAGAACAUCAUGGAGGGUGAGAAUCCCGUCUUUGGCUUGAGCAUAGUCUUUUGUGUUGCACUUUAACGAGUCAGGUUGUUUGGGAAUGCAGCCUAAAGUGGGAGGUAAAUCCCUCCUAAAGCUAAAUAUUGGCGAGAGACCGAUAGCAAACAAGUACCGUGAGGGAAAGAUGAAAAGAACUUUGAAAAGAGAGUUAAACAGUAUGUGAAAUUGCUAAAAGGGAAGCGUUUGAAGACAGACUAGCUUGGUUAUAAUCAGCCUGGAUUUUUCUUGGUGUACUUGUAGCCUAUGCUUGCCAACAGCAGUUUGGUCUGGCUGAAAAAACUAGUAGUAAGGUGGCUCUCUUCGGGGAGUGUUAUAGACUAUUAGAAAAUCAGUUGGACUGGACUGAGGAAUGCAAUGCAGCUUGCCUUGGGGUGAACCAGAUUGGAUAGGAACCAUUGUUCCUUGAAGGUUUGGGUAGCUCUUCGAACUGUAUUUAGGUUGUUGGCUUAAUGUCUUUAAACG
rnacentral:sRNA from 1 species